UACCCGCAGCACAAGUGGUGGUCAUUAUUAUUGGGCCUAAAGCGUCCGUAGCUUGCGUGUUAGAUGCCUGGGUAAAUCGAUGGGCUUAACCCAUCGAAUUCCGGGUAGACCGGCACGCUCGAGACCGGGAGAGGUGUAGGGAACUCGGGGGGUAGGGGUAAAAUCCUGCAAUCCUCCGGGGACGACCAGUGGCGAAGGCGCUACACUAGAACGGCUCUGACAGUGAGGGACGAAGCCCUGGGGCGCAAACCGG
rnacentral:rRNA from 1 species